GACGAACGCUGGCGGCGUGCUUAACACAUGCAAGUCGAGCGAUGAAGCACCUUCGGGUGUGAAUUAGCGGCGAACGGGUGAGGAACACGUGAGAAAUCUGCCUUCAACACUGGGAUAACUCCGGGAAACCGGGGCUAAUACCGGAUACGAGACCUGCAGGCAUCUGCGGGUCUGGAAAGUUUUUCGGUUGAAGAUGACCUCGCGGCCUAUCAGCUUGUUGGUGAGGUAAUGGCUCACCAAGGCGACGACGGGUAGCCGGCCUGAGAGGGCGACCGGCCACACUGGGACUGAGACACGGCCCAGACUCCUACGGGAGGCAGCAGUGGGGAAUAUUGGGCAAUGGAGGGAACUCUGACCCAGCGACGCCGCGUGCGGGAUGAAGGCCUUCGGGUUGUAAACCGCUUUCAGCAAGGAAGAAGCGAAAGUGACGGUACUUGCAGAAGAAGCACCGGCUAACUAUGUGCCAGCAGCCGCGGUAAUACAUAGGGUGCAAGCGUUGUCCGGAAUUAUUGGGCGUAAAGAGCUCGUAGGUGGUUCGUCACGUCGGAUGUGAAAAUCUGGGGCUUAACCCCAGACCUGCAUUCGAUACGGGCGAGCUAGAGUGUGGUAGGGGAGACUGGAAUUCCUGGUGUAGCGGUGGAAUGCGCAGAUAUCAGGAGGAACACCAAUGGCGAAGGCAGGUCUCUGGGCCAUUACUGACACUGAGGAGCGAAAGCGUGGGGAGCGAACAGGAUUAGAUACCCUGGUAGUCCACGCCGUAAACGGUGGGCACUAGUUGUGGGAACCUUCCACGGUUUCUGCGACGCAGCUAACGCAUUAAGUGCCCCGCCUGGGGAGUACGAUCGCAAGAUUA
rnacentral:rRNA from 1 species